AUGAAAAUCCUAGGAUGGAAUUGCCGUGGUAUGCUCUCCAACACAGCAGUUCAUGAGCUUCUGGAUCUACAGGAGCGUACAAGGGCAGAGUUAAUUUUCCUUUCUGAAUCUCAUUUGAAUAAGUGUAAGGCCGAUGAGCUUCGUCGUGUCCUAGGUUUUGAUUCUAUGUUUGUAGUGGAAAGUGAUGGUAAGGCUGGUGGCCUUGUUUUAUUUUUCACAAGUCAAAUAAAGUCGAGUUUAACUAUGUCUCGCCCCAUUUUAUUGAUAUUGUUUUCAUGCAUGAGGAUAUGGUUCAGUGGAAUUUCAGCGGUUUUUAUGGUCACCCGAAAUGGAAUGAACGCCAUCUAUCUUGGGAGGAUAUUCGCAAUCUCCAUAGUAAAGGUAACCAUCCGUGGGUGGUUUUAG
rnacentral:rRNA from 1 species